rnacentral:rRNA from 1 species
CUAUGAAGUGGAAGAAAUGGGCUACAUUUUCUAGCUUAGAAAAACCACCAUACGAAAAGGAGUAUGAAAUAACUCCUAG